rnacentral:lncRNA from 1 species
CUUUCUUUUUGCCUCUUGUCCUUUCACCUUCUUUGCUUUCUCUAUUUCAUGAUCAUUUGCCUCUUUUUCUUGCAAACAUUGUUGAUCUUUAAUCUUCAUUGCACUCUUAGGUUCUUCACUUUCUCCCUUCACAAAUGGUACAACUUUUUCACUUUCUUCUUUAAUACCUUUUGCUUUUUCAAUCUUUCUACCCUUUACUUCCUCUGUUGUAUCACCUUGUGAGUCUAACAUUUUCAUUGGAAAAUCUUCUUUUGAUCUAUCUUUACUCAUCUUUUC